UACGGAGGGUGCAAGCGUUAUCCGGAUUCACUGGGUUUAAAGGGUGCGUAGGCGGGCAGGUAAGUCCGUGGUGAAAUCUCUGAGCUUAACUCAGAAACUGCCAUGGAUACUACUUGUCUUGAAUAUUGUGGAGGUGAGCGGAAUAUGUCAUGUAGCGGUGAAAUGCUUAGAUAUGACAUAGAACACCAAUUGCGAAGGCAGCUCACUACACAAUCAUUGACUCUGAGGCACGAAAGCGUGGGGAUCAAACAGG
rnacentral:rRNA from 1 species